rnacentral:rRNA from 1 species
UAGAAGGAACUCGGCAAAUUGACACCGUAACUUCGGAAGAAGGUGUGCCCCUAGUAGGUGAAGGCGUACAGCUGGAGCCCAAUGGGGUCGCAGAGAAUCGGUGGCUGCGACUGUUUAUUAAAAACACAGCACUCUGCAAACACGAAAGUGGAUGUAUAGGGUGUGACGCCUGCCCGGUGCUGGAAGGUUAAAUGAUGGGGUGCAAGCCCUUGAUUGAAGCCCCAGUAAACGGCGGCCGUAACAAUAACGGUCCUAAGGUAGCGAAAUUCCUUGUCGGGUAAGUUCCGACCUGCACGAAUGGCGUAACGCUGGCCACGCUGUCUCCUCCCGAGACUCAGCGAAGUUGAAAUGGUUGUGAUGAUGCAAUCUACCCGCGGCUAGACGGAAAGACCCCGUGCACCUUUACUGUAACUUUGCAUUGGACUGUGAACCGGUCUGUGUAGGAUAGCUGGGAGACUUUGAAGCGGUGGCGCUAGCCAUCGUGGAGUCGUCGUUGAAAUACCAGCCUGAUUGUUUUGCGGCUCUAACCUUGGCUCGUAAUCCGGGCCGGGGACCGUGCAUGGUAGGCAGUUUGACUGGGGCGGUCUCCUCCAAAAGAGUAACGGAGGAGUACGAAGGUACGCUUACCACGGUCGGAAAUCGUGGCUCAAUGUGCAUUGGCAAAAGCGUGCUUGACUGCGAGACUGACAAGUCGAGCAGGUGCGAAAGCAGGUCAAAGUGAUCCGGUGGUUCUGUAUGGAAGGGCCAUCGCUCAACGGAUAAAAGGUACGCCGGGGAUAACAGGCUGAUCUCCCCCAAGAGUUCAUAUCGACGGGGAGGUUUGGCACCUCGAUGUCGGCUCAUCACAUCCUGGGGCUGUAGCCGGUCCCAAGGGUAUGGCUGUUCGCCAUUUAAAGUGGUACGUGAGGUGGGUUUAAAACGUCGUGAGACAGUUUGGUCCCUAUCUACCGUGGGCGUUGAAAGUUUGAGGGGGGCUACUCCUAGUACGAGAGGACCGGAGUGGACGCAUCCCUGGUGUACCGGUUGUCACGCCAGUGGCAUUGCCGGGUAGCUAUAUGCGGAAGAGAUAACCGCUGAAAGCAUCUAAGCGGGAAACUUGCCCCAAGAUGAGACUUCCCGGAGGCUUGACCUCCCUAAAGGGUCGUCCUAGACCAGGACGUUGAUAGGCUGGGUGUGCAAGGGCCGUGAGGCCUUGAGCUAACCAGUACUAAUUGCCCGUGCGGCUUGACCCC